UUGCAACAAAGUCCCAUAAUGUAACUUCGUUGCGCAACACGGUCAGAAACGGCGCGAUACGCGCAACAAGUGGCGAACAAAGUUUCAUUCGAACUGAACCACGUUGCACUGUGCUGCAUCAGAGUUUUGCGUACGUUCCGCCGUUAAAGAAGUUACGUGUCCGUUUCAAGCUUCGCGCGGCUUACAGGCCAAUGUCGAGCAACGCGCGGUUAGCGAGCCGAUACCGUUGUAACCCGAGGAAGGAAUUCGAUAAGUUUACUGUUGGUUUAUCGUUCACGGAUGCGUUGGCGUCACCUAAAGUCAUUUGAGGAUUCCACAACCAAACCAUCUACGGAGGAGUUAAACAAGAAGCUAAAAAGAAGAUUCAGGAUUUCCAACGUUGGUAGUACUUGUCGAAUAGAGGAAAAAUAUAUGCAAAGGAAUAAUAAUGUAAUUUCAAACCGAGAAAAUCAAAUGCUUUAACCGGAACGAAAAAUUGUUUUAAUUUGGAAACUGUUGAUUUAUCGAGCUAUGUUUCGUAGAACUGUCUCCUUCUACUUUAUGCCGUUCUCAAGAUAGUCCACGGGAAAGAAACAUUUGCAUUUUUUUCAAGUGGCGGUUUUACCCCUUCAAAGUGAAAUUCGGCAUGAAAAAAAUUGCAGUGUAUAAGGUUUGACUUACUCUAAGUUGCACACAAAGGUACAUAACUUUUUAAAUUUCCGGGUGCGAUACCUUUCCUUGUCAGUCGAAUGUAUACAUAUAUGUAUGUCAGUAUUCUUGAAGCGGUUAAUUCGAAAGCUUUCUUUCACAAUGGACUCAGAUAGUCCGUGUUUCAAAAAAUCUCCAGUAUCGCGAAGCAUAACGCGCGACUGGUGCUCGAUAAUAGCCAGGGUGCAGGCAGUCAACUUUGACGUGCAUUAAUCUACGAUUUCUCAGCGCGCGUCGAGGCAGCCUGACGGAUGGAUGGGUCGCACCUGCCCGCGGGACACAAUCGCGCCCACGAUCCCGGAAACGCAAACGCGCGGCGAAAAUUAUGUGCGUGGCGGUGCCAUGUACGUAACAGAAGACAUGGCCUCCGGUCGGAUUGAACGCUUUAUUCCGCGGGAAAUUAGAAUUUACGGCGCUCGUUUCGGCAAGGAACCGAGAUUGGUCUAUCGUUCCACCGGAACGAAUUUCCUCGUUGAUUGAAUUAGACUGUCAACCUAUCCGGCACAAUGACGGACUUCCCCCUUCUACCAGAACUGAUGUAUGAAAAUCAUGUAACCAACGGGACACCAGAAUUCGAGGGAAUUUAGGUGAAACGGGCUAGUCCCGCCGAUGGAAACCACUUUCUAAGAUUGCUUCCGGGGAUCAGAUACGGCAAUUAAGUUGUCCGAGUGGUCGUCGAGCUUCUAAUAUUUGAAAAUGGAUCUAGGGAUAGGGUAACCGUCCGUUGAAUGGAUGUCAGUAGGCGGGCGGAUGAUGAACAAGCAUCAUCCGGAAACCGCGGGGUCUUGUGCACCCCGAGAGGCAAGAGUACGCGCACGAAGCGCCCGCUGGCUUACGCUCGGGUUACCCGGUUCUCACAACGACGUGAUAUCUGAUAACACAGACGUAAACCUGAGAUAAUGCUCUUAUAUACUAACCACCGACACGGGCUGGUUUUAGUUCGAGCGCAGGGCCACGGGUACGUUUGUCGCGUAAAGGAGAUAAAGUCGGCUAGGUGGAGAGAGGCUUACCGUCGCGCUAGAACGCUUUUCCCGAAAUGACGAUACUUUUGUUCGAGAACUAACGGAGGUUGCAACGCGAGAUAAGUCAGGAUUUGCAUAUUUGUCUGGGGAGGGGAAGCCCGACGGUGUUCGGGCGAACAGAUUCACGGCGUCGUCUUUGAAAAGAUGAUCGAUGGGACGUGUUGAGGUAAUGCGUCGCUGAGGAGAAUCUUAUUCGGCCGCAAAGUCUAUAGAGUCUACCCGCUUGCCGCGAUAAGUUAGUACUGUAGCUUCGUGGCUGUCGAUUUCAAUUUGAAUUCCGGACUUCCCGUUGCCUGGAUGCUGAACACGGAGUGUAAAUAAUACUGCGGUUUAGUGAUUUGUACAAAGGAAAGGAAUAAUUUGGUGCAUGUAUUAUUUUCGUCUUAUGUCUUUUGCAUACUUGAUUGUCCGUCGUUCUUAAUCUGUUAAUCCUAACUUCGAGUUCUUUAAAUUUUGUCUUUAAGUUUUUACUCAGUUCUUAGAUUUUCUAAUUUUUUGAAAGUGCAUUGUUUUUGAAAUGCUGUUUCGAAAUGAUGUCUACCAAGUUCGUGUUCAAAAGAUUAGCGUUGUGAAGAAGAGUCGACCUCUGAGAAACAUAUCGCUUGUAAUACAAGCUCCUCAAGUUCUAUUUAUUACGUUACACAAUCGUCAAACUUAAUUGAUUACGGUGAUUUCGCAGUUCCCGAUGUCGGGAGACCUAGUAUUACGGAAUAUUGAAAUUAAAUAUGUAGAAUCUAUUUUAUGAAAUUUCCUGACAAUUAAUGGAAAUGGAAGGAAAUGUUAAAUAAAAAUUAAUUCUCUGAUUUCGAAUAGCGAAUUUAAAAAUUCCACCACUUAAUUAAUAUUUGUUU